rnacentral:lncRNA from 1 species
UUACGUGGCUGUGUGCUCAUACCAAGUCUAAGCAAUGGAAAGUCUCCAGUUCAGAGCCAGUGGACGUUAGGGAAGGAAACUGGACCUGAGAGUGAUGUUUGGAGUUUGAAUUAACACCCAAGUUCUGAGAGGAGGCUGCUGGGCAUUGCAUCGGACCAGUCCCACUGGUAAGUGAACUCCAAACGUAGCAGUUGUCUCACAGGGCUUCCAGCAUGAUGACGUU